rnacentral:rRNA from 1 species
UACAGAGGUCUCAAGCGUUGUUCGGAUUCAUUGGGCGUAAAGGGUGCGUAGGCGGCGCGGUAAGUCGGGUGUGAAAUCCCUCGGCUCAACCAAGGAAGUGCAUCCGAAACUGCGGAGCUUGAGUACUUAAGAGGAUCGCGGAAUUCCCGGUGUAGAGGUGAAAUUCGUAGAUAUCGGGAGGAACACCAGUGGCGAAGGCGGCGAUCUGGGAAGAUACUGACGCUGAGGUGCGAAAGCGUGGGGAGCAAACAGG